rnacentral:rRNA from 1 species
AUUGAACGCUGGCGGCAUGCCUUACACAUGCAAGUCGAACGGCAGCACGGGUGCUUGCACCUGGUGGCGAGUGGCGAACGGGUGAGUAAUACAUCGGAACAUGUCCUGUAGUGGGGGAUAGCCCGGCGAAAGCCGGAUUAAUACCGCAUACGAUCUACGGAUGAAAGCGGGGGACCUUCGGGCCUCGCGCUAUAGGGUUGGCCGAUGGCUGAUUAGCUAGUUGGUGGGGUAAAGGCCUACCAAGGCGACGAUCAGUAGCUGGUCUGAGAGGACGACCAGCCACACUGGGACUGAGACACGGCCCAGACUCCUACGGGAGGCAGCAGUGGGGAAUUUUGGACGAUGGGCGAAAGCCUGAUCCAGCACUGCCGCGUGUGUGAAGAAGGCCUUCGGGUUGUAAAGCACUUUUGUCCGGAAAGAAAUCCUUGGCCCUAAUACGGUCGGGGGAUGACGGUACCGGAAGAAUAAGCACCGGCUAACUACGUG